CGUGGGAAGCCUGGCAGCGCAUGGGACAGAACUCCUCUCAACACUGUCAGGCCACUUGCUUCCAAAUUCCCCUCCAGGAAGUGGGAUGGUGAGAGGAGAAGAGACUUGGUGCUUCCCAUCCCUGCUGAUGAAUGGAGCCAGGCUUUCUUCGGACUGCAAGUAAAUUCACUGGGCCAGAUGCUCAGGCCAAGCCCCAGGGCUGCUUGUUCCUAGGAGGGAAAGGUAGAAGAUUCCUGAGGUAGUUUUUUUUUAGUUUCUUUAUUUUGUGUUAUGGUGAAGUUCCUGUCUCGGAAGUGAUGCUUGUAUUUUAGUCUCCUUUUUCAGUGCAGAAAGCCAGAGGAUACAAGAGGGGAGCAUCAUUUUUAUGACAACAAGGAUGCAUCCUUUGCAAUUGUGACUUCCUUUGGCUGGGAUGUGGGAUGCUGUGGCCGUCCUGCUGUGUUUUCUGUCUUUAUCUGGGACAGCUGAAGGCAUUUGUGGCUGGAAGGUUUUCGGGACAGGGGCAGUUUGACACAGCAUGCGCAGCACAGAGGAGCAGCCUGACCUGCUCACAGCUCCAUGCGCUGCUGCUCUAAUGACAACCGUGAUUUUUCAUGCCUGUUAUUGGAAGAAGAAAGUAACUGUUUGCAGUAAGCCGCAUACUAAUCAGGAGCUUCUGGGGACCUUUACCUGUUCGUUUUCUUCUCCGAGUGACUUGCAUCUGAGCGGGACACUUUGCAGCCCCGAGCCGAUGUCAGCCCUGCCGGGCUCUGGCAUUUGUCACUCACUCAGAAGACGGGAGCUCAACUUAUUCUCCCAGCUGCCAAACAUUGUUCCUGCUACAGGAGGCUUUUGGUCCCAACCUUAGAGAAGCUGUCAGUGUUCUGGCUGCUAGGCAAUGCUUCUGCCAGCCCGGGGAUGAAAAAGGAAAGACGGAGUUGUCCAAGUCUCUGGCCAGAUAACGCCUGGAUUUCACCGCCACGUGGUGCAGCUGCUCAGCAGCUUAUGCAUGCAAACGCUGUUGAAAACCAAAGGGCCAUGGGAGAAAAGGAAGAAAAGUUUUGUUUCUCCUCUCUGCUUGUUUUUUGUCAUGCUGCUGUUCUCCUGCCCGGCUCCUCAGCUAUGUGGCAGAAUCGCUGCCAUUGCAAAUUAAUGUCCGUAGCCAGACAUAUGCUCAUGGCCUGGAAUGAAGUCGACUGCAAUUACAUCCUAAGGGAGUCACUCAACGGGGGUUUUGUGGAGGCAGGACUCAGGCUCUGGUGGAGCUGCACAUGUGCUGUUAGACCUCCAACUGCACUCGCUCUGCCUGCAGCUUUGUGGGAGCGAGGAGCAGCAGGCUCAGAAAUACAGCCAGUCUGGUGCACAUCUGGAGACAGUAAUUGGAGUGGGUACAGAGACAUGAGCUUUCAAUACCUGCAAAUUUCCAUCUGGUUUGUUAGCAGCACUCCUCAUGAAGGGGAUUAUGAAAAGUUGGAGAUGCUACAGUGUUUCAGACUCAUUUGA
ensembl:lncRNA